UGCUCAUGUCUUACCAUGUUCAAUGCUCAUGUCUUACCAUGUUCAAUAAUCUGUUCAAUAAUCACGUCUUAUCAUGUUCAAUCAUCUGUUCAAUAAUCACGUCUUACCCAUACAUGCCAACUUUCCUGAUUUUUGCGGGAUUUUCCCGAUUUGAAGCAGUUGAAAAGGCAAAUCCUGAUAUCCCGAUCGGGAUUGCAAAAAUACCCCGAAAUCCCGAUUUUCUAAAAAUAUCUCCCAUUUUUACGACAACAAACCCCCAUUUCCAACCGGAAUUUGAAAUCUCGCGUCAUUUCUGAACUGGCCAAUCAGAAAUCGGGACAAUAGUCAGCCAUUGCUGUUUACCUGUGUCGCAUGGUAUCGGAGUGAUGUAAUUUACUUGGUCUGCCCGUGUCGGGGUGCUUAUUGGACAGUGCGAAGCAUGUUUUAAUAGUAAUUAAUCGGGAAGACGGAUUUCAAAUUGACAUAUCCUUUACACAAACGUGAAUGGCAAUGAUAAUAGUGUCACCACCAAACAAUCGGACAUUCCCGAUUUUUGCCUCUAGCUGACAGCAUCCAAAAUAUGCAAUAUUAAAGAUGUCAUGGGUGCAAAGGUUUUGUUCGCAAACUUCAUAGCAGGGCAGAUCACUCCUUUUCUGGUUGCAAUGCAGAUUGUUCCACCAGACUCUGCAAGCCCAUGAAAUUGUUUACAGACAAGCAAGAUCGCCUUUGUAGUCGUACCUAAAUGCAUGUGCUUUAAUUUAAAUUUUGAUAUAUAGACCAGCCAAUGUAUAUAUGGUGUAAAAGGAUGCAACUUUAAGUAUUAUUUGAUAAUAUGUAUGUGAUUUGUUGGAGAGGAUUUUUUGCUGAAUAGAUGAUUUUAAUAAAAUAUCUAUCUAUAUCUUUCAAAGUUUUUUUUUUUAUAUAGUUUUGUUAAAGUUAAUGGUCAAA